GGCCGACUAGCUCAGUUGGUUAGAGCGUCGUGCUAAUAUGUCGCACAUACUCUGGUGUCAAGUAUUAACGCGAAGGUCUUGGUUUCGAUCCCCACGUUGGCCA